rnacentral:rRNA from 1 species
UACGUAGGGUGCGAGCGUUAAUCGGAAUUACUGGGCGUAAAGCGUGCGCAGGCGGUUUUGUAAGCCAGAUGUGAAAUCCCCGGGCUUAACCUGGGAAUGGCAUUUGGGACUGCAAGGCUGGAGUGUGGCAGAGGAGACUGGAAUUCCUGGUGUAGCAGUGAAAUGCGUAGAUAUCAGGAGGAACACCGAUGGCGAAGGCAAUCCCCUGGGCCUGCACUGACGCUCAUGCACGAAAGCGUGGGGAGCAAACAGG